rnacentral:rRNA from 1 species
UAGCGUAUAUUAAAGUUGUUGCAGUUAGAACGCUCGUAGUCGGAUUUCGGGGCGGGCCGACCGGUCUGCCGAUGGGUACGCACUGGUCGGCGCGUCCUUCCUUCCGGAGACCGCGCCUACUCUUAACUGAGCGGGUUCGGGAGACGGAUCGUUUACUUUGAAAAAAUCAGAGUGUUUCAAGCAGGCAGCUCGCUCUUGCAUGGAUUAGCAUGGGAUAAUGAAAUAGGACUUUGGUGCUAUUUUGUUGGUUUCGAACACCGAAGUAAUGAUUAAAAGGGACAGUCAGGGGCACUCGUAUUCCGCCGAGAGAGGUGAAAUUCUCAGACCAGCGGAAGACGAACCACUGCGAAAGCAUUUG